GACGAACGCUGGCGGCGUGCUUAACACAUGCAAGUCGAACGGAAAGGCCCUGCUUUUGUGGGGUGCUCGAGUGGCGAACGGGUGAGUAACACGUGAGUAACCUGCCCUUGACUUUGGGAUAACUUCAGGAAACUGGGGCUAAUACCGGAUAGGAGCUCCUGCUGCAUGGUGGGGGUUGGAAAGUUUCGGCGGUUGGGGAUGGACUCGCGGCUUAUCAGCGUGUUGGUGGGGUAGUGGCUUACCAAGGCUUUGACGGGUAGCCGGCCUGAGAGGGUGACCGGCCACAUUGGGACUGAGAUACGGCCCAGACUCCUACGGGAGGCAGCAGUGGGGAAUAUGGCACAAUGGGCGGAAGCCUGAUGCAGCAACGCCGCGUGCGGGAUGACGGCCUUCGGGUUGGAAACCGCGUUCGCCUGUGACGAAGCGUGAGUGACGGUAAUGGGUAAAGAAGCACCGGCUAACUACGUG
rnacentral:rRNA from 1 species